GAAGUCGUUAUAUCCCACUUUCUUUUUUGAAUCAAAGGACCCCGGCGGAGGGGAUCAUUCCAGAGCGUAGAACGGCGUCCGGCGCUGAGAACGGCGUUCGAUGAACGACGGAGCUCAGCCUCGAGUGGAUCGCGACCCCAACCCGGCGAGCGCAAGAUCACGGUCCCGCCCCUCCUCCUGGCAGAUGCCCCGGUCUAACUCGACUCCAGCCGAGCUUCCCGGGGCCCGGGGCUGGUGGGAGGUCACAGGCCUGCCCUGGGUGCUGGGUGUGAUUUCAUACUUUCACUGCUGUUGCGGAGAUGAAAGCAAAUGGGGCUUUCCCUCUUGGUAAAUAAUCUUGAAGUUCAGUUUAUUUUGGUUCCAAAGUAGCCCAGAACACUUCACAGACGAUUGUGGCCCAUACAUGCCGGGGGUGGGUGGGUAUUACAGUGAAAUAAGAUACUCUAUCUACGGUUUGUCCCCCUCCAAAAGUCUCUGGCAACAUCCUUUGGGCAUUUUCUACAGGAUAGGGACGCUCUCUCUCUCUCUCACACACCAACACCCACCUGCAAUCACACGCAACCAGUCAAGCAGGCGCGGGUCUUCUAAAAUGAUCUCAAAAAAGUUACCACCUCCAGGAUGCCUUCCCUGAUCGCCCUCCCCACAACUAAUAACUUCCCCUCACCACUACACUGUAAGCUCCUCGAAGGCAGUGAUCACGUCACAGUCGCUUAGACUGUGAGCCCCGAUGUUUUGUUUUCGUUUUUAAUGAUAUGUGUUAAGCGCUUACUAUGUGCCAGGCCCGGUACUAAGCACUAGGGUAGUAAGCUCAGUCUUAAUCCCCAUCAUACGGUUGAGGUAACCGAGGCUCAGAGAGGUUAAGCGACUCGCCCACGGGGAGCGGCGCGGCUUGACGGGAAGAGCACGGGCCUGGGACUCAGAGGACCUGGAUUCUGAUCUCCGGCUCUGCCACCUGUCUGCUGCGUGACCUUGGGUAAGUCAUUUCUCUAUGCCUCUGGACCGUCAUCUGCAAAAAUGGGGAUUCGGUACCUACGGGGUAUUUUUUUUUUAAUGGUAUGUGUUACGCGUUCACUAUUUCCUGCACUCUUUAAGUAGUGUCUCAACUCUUCUGGGAGGGCGUGUGAAGAGAAUGAAUGAGAGAAGCACGGGUUGGGAGAACGUACAGCAACCAGAUACCUGAACAGUUAGUCGUUGUAACCCCCACCUAAACUGUCAGGUCCUUGAGGGCAGGGACUCUGUGAAUCUUUGCCAUCGUACUCUCCCAAGCGCUUAAUACAGUGCUCGGCACCCAGUAAAUGCUCAGUAUAUACCAUUGAUCGACUGUAGGGUGAGCAGAAAUUUGGGUAAACAAAAGCAAGGAGGACAGGGGAGCUAGUUUGAGGACACAGGAAACGAGCAAAAACUCAUCAGCCAGCCUACUAAUUGCUUAAUAAAUACCAUAAUAAUGACGAUGAUAAUAAUGAUGAUGAUAUUUGUUAAGUACUUACUACGUACCGAGCACUGUUCUAAUAAGCACUGGGGUAGAUAGAAGCUAAUCAAGUGGGACACGGUCCCCGUCCCACAUAGGGCUCACGAUCUUAAUCCUCAUUUUUCAGGGAACUGAGGCCCAGAGAAGUGAAGCGACUUGCCUGAGGUCACACAGCGAACGGGUGCUCUGCACUCCGUAAGCGCUCGAUAAAUACGAUUGACUGACUAAGGCCCGGCUGUGGGGCCCAGCUGUCGGCCGGGUCCCGGCGGGACUCGGCUGCCCGGGCCUCCGGCUACCCGGGAGAGGCGGCUUCUCCCUGGGUCGGGAGUAGGGCUCUGGGAAUGCCGGGAACACGAGGCCCGAGGGGUGCGGGUCUGGGCACGCCAGCCAUCGCGCAGAAGAGAUUCCCCCACCGCAAGCAAGCGCCGGUUGACUCUGCCUCCCUGUAAUUACACCUCCAUAAUUCCCCGUGGCCCGUCCACAGCCCCGCCUCCCAGCGGGCCCGGGGGAGCACCGGCUAACGGCCCCUCCCCCUCUCCCGGGGACCGGGGGGCUGCGUCGCUCCCCUCCCGCCUAAUAAUUGAUAAUUAUGGUAUUUGUUAAGCGCUUACUCCGUGCCAGUCGCUAUUCUAAGCGCCGGGGUGGAUACGAGCAAAUCGGGUUGCACGCAGUCCCCUGUCCCACGUGGGGCUCCCAGCCUUAAGCCCCAUUUUCCAGAUGAGGGAACUGAGGCCCAGAGACGUGAAGCGGCUCGCCCAAGGUCCCACAGCAGACCAGCGGAGGAGCCGGGAUUGGGGCGCACGGCCUUCUGACUCCCGGGCCCCGGCUCUAUCCACUAGGCCACGCUGCUUCCCACUAGCCUGGCCUGGUGGGAAGAGCCUGGCACUUGGGUGACGGGAGAAUCAGGCUCAAGUCAGGAAUUAGCAGCCCGGGGGGACCUUCCUGAGCCAGCUUCCUUGCCGUUCGUCUGUUUGUCCUUUCGAGUAUCCGUUAAAGCGCUUACUAUGUGCCGGGCUCUGUUCUCGGCGCUGGGGUAGAUGAGAGCUCAUCGGGUUGGACACAGCCCCCGUCCCUCCCGGGGCUCACGGCCUCCAUCCCCAUUUGACAGAUGAAGUAACCGAGGCGCUUGAAGUGAAGCGACUUGCCCGAGGUCACACAGCAGGUACGUGGCAGAGCCGGCAUCAGAACCCAGGUCUUUUUGACCCCUAGGCCUGUGCUCUAACCUCUCGACGUGCUGCCGCUUUGCCUGAAAGCCCCCCGGUCCGGAUUUUUGCCCGAUCCAGAACUGUUUCCUACGCCUUUAGGUAGCAAAACAUCGACUCUUUUAGCUGAACAAUCUUCCGAGUCGAGGUUAACUUCAUACCCAAAAGGGACCCGGAGAAACGAUGGUUUUAGGACAGAAGCGUUGUUUUCUUUUUUUUUCCUUUCAUAUUCCCCCUCGAGUGAUUUUUCUGUUCUAACUCUGUCACAAUGGUGCCGCAGCUGCUGCCAAGAUGGUUUCAAAGAAUCUUUCUGGGAGCCCAGCAAUAAAACAAAACCCAACAAACUGUACUUUGUUCUCGCUCCGGAGGAGCCA
rnacentral:lncRNA from 1 species